rnacentral:rRNA from 1 species
UUUCGGGGUAGCAAUAUUCCGGAGUUGGAGUGGCGAAAGGGUGCGUAACAUGUGGGUAAUCUGCCGUGAAGUUUGGGAUAACUUGCUGAAAGGCGAGCUAAUACCGGAUGUAAUCACUGGGGGUAUCUCUCGGUGAUUAAAGUUGGGGACCGCAAGGCCUGACGCUUCAUGAUGAGCCCGCAUCCUAUCAGCUAGUUGGUGAGGUAACGGCUCACCAAGGCUAAGACGGGUAGCUGGUCUGAGAGGACGACCAGCCACACUGGAACUGAGACACGGUCCAGACACCUACGGGUGGCAGCAGUCGAGAAUUUUUCACAAUGGGCGAAAGCCUGAUGGAGCGACGCCGCGUGGGGGAUGAAGGGCUUCGGUCCGUAAACCCCUGUCAUUUGCGAACAAACCUUUCCACCUAACACGUGGAGAGCUGAUUGUAGCGAAAGAGGAAGGGACGGCUAACUCUGUGCCAGCAGCCGCGGUAAUACAGAGGUCCCAAGCGUUGUUCGGAUUUACUGGGCGUAAAGGGUGCGUAGGUGGCGAGGUAAGUUUGAUGUGAAAUCUCCGAGCUCAACUCGGAAAUGGCAUUGAAUACUAUCCCGCUUGAGGGUCGGAGGGGAGACUGGAAUUCUCGGUGUAGCAGUGAAAUGCGUAGAUAUCGAGAGGAACACCAGUGGCGAAGGCGAGUCUCUGGACGACUCCUGACACUGAGGCACGAAAGCUGGGGGAGCAAACAGGAUUAGAUACCCUGGUAGUCCUAGCUGUAAACGGUGCACGUUUGCUGUAAGAGGAAUCGACCCCUUUUGUGGCG